rnacentral:rRNA from 1 species
GCCUACAGCCAUGCCAUCCUGAAAGUGCCCGAUCUCAUCUGAUCUCAGAAUCAGAAGCUAAGCAGGGUCGGACUUGGUUAAUACUUGGAUGGGAGACCACCUAGGAAUACCAGAUGCUGUAGGCU